GGAAGGGAGCUUGCUCCCGGAUGUUAGCGGCGGACGGGUGAGUAACACGUGGGUAACCUGCCUGUAAGACUGGGAUAACUCCGGGAAACCGGAGCUAAUACCGGAUAGUUCCUUGAACCGCAUGGUUCAAGGAUGAAAGACGGUUUCGGCUGUCACUUACAGAUGGACCCGCGGCGCAUUAGCUAGUUGGUGGGGUAAUGGCUCACCAAGGCGACGAUGCGUAGCCGACCUGAGAGGGUGAUCGGCCACACUGGGACUGAGACACGGCCCAGACUCCUACGGGAGGCAGCAGUAGGGAAUCUUCCGCAAUGGACGAAAGUCUGACGGAGCAACGCCGCGUGAGUGAUGAAGGUUUUCGGAUCGUAAAGCUCUGUUGUUAGGGAAGAACAAGUGCGAGAGUAACUGCUCGCACCUUGACGGUACCUAACCAGAAAGCCACGGCUAACUACGUGCCAGCAGCCGCGGUAAUACGUAGGUGGCAAGCGUUGUCCGGAAUUAUUGGGCGUAAAGGGCUCGCAGGCGGUUUCUUAAGUCUGAUGUGAAAGCCCCCGGCUCAACCGGGGAGGGUCAUUGGAAACUGGGAAACUUGAGUGCAGAAGAGGAGAGUGGAAUUCCACGUGUAGCGGUGAAAUGCGUAGAGAUGUGGAGGAACACCAGUGGCGAAG
rnacentral:rRNA from 1 species